AUUAUGGCUCAGGAUGAACGCUAGCGGCAGGCUUAACACAUGCAAGUCGAGGGGCAUCGGGAGUAGCAAUACUUGCCGGCGACCGGCGCAAGGGUGCGUAACGCGUGAGCAACAUGCCCGUAUCAGGGGGAUAAUCCAUGGAAACGUGGUCUAAUACCCCAUAGUAAUUAUGUAAGGCAUCUUAUAUAAUUUAAAGCUUUGGUGGAUACGGAUUGGCUCGCGUGACAUUAGCUAGAUGGUAAGGUAACGGCUUACCAUGGCUACGAUGUCUAGGGGUUCUGAGAGGAAGGUCCCCCACACUGGAACUGAGACACGGUCCAGACUCCUACGGGAGGCAGCAGUGAGGAAUAUUGGACAAUGGAUGGAAAUCUGAUCCAGCCAUGCCGCGUGCAAGGAAGACGGCCCUAUGGGUUGUAAACUGCUUUUGUAUGGGAGCAAUAAGGGCUACGCGUAGUCCGAUGAGAGUACCAUACGAAUAAGCACCGGCUAACUCCGUGCCAGCCGCAGC
rnacentral:rRNA from 1 species